GAUGAACGCUGGCGGCGUGCCUAAUACAUGCAAGUCGAGCGAACGGACGAGAAGCUUUCUUCUCUGAUGUUAGCGGCUGACGGGUGAGUAACACGUGGAUAACCUACCUAUAUGACUUGGAUAACUUCGUGAAACCGGAUCUAAUACCGGCUGAUAUUUUGAACCGCAUGGUUCAAAAGUGAUUGACGCUCUUGCUGUCUCUUUUAGCUGGAUCCGCGCUGCAUUAGCUAGUUGGUAAGGUAACGGCUUACCAAGGCAACGAUGCAUAGCCGACCUGAGAGGGUGAUCGGCCACACUGGAACUGAGACACGGUCCAGACUCCUACGGGAGGCAGCAGUAGGGAAUAUUCGGCAAUGGGCGAAAGCCUGACGGAGCAACGCCGCGUGAGUGAUGAAGGUCUUCGGAUCGUAAAACUCUGUUAUUAGGGAAGAACAGAUGUGGAAGUAAAUGUGCACAUCUUGACGGUACCUAAUCAGAAAGCCACGGCUAACUACGUG
rnacentral:rRNA from 1 species